GAAAGAGUAGCUCAGUUGGGAGAGCAUCAGGAAAAUCCUGCUGGUCGGUGGUUCGAGUCCAUCCUCUUUCU
rnacentral:tRNA from 1 species